rnacentral:rRNA from 1 species
AUGUCUGCCGGCCUGAAAGCUUUGGUGGUGAGCGGGGUUCCUUUCGCCGAGAAAAGGGACGGGUUAGGAUUUGAGGACCGCCUGGCAAUUCUGCCUGGUGGUAGAAUGGCAGGCAAUGGGGAGGUUGAUUUUGUGGGCACUAACGGUGCUUGUCGUGAAGAGAGUGGUGGCCGGUCUGCAAGUGUGAAUGCCCUACACGGUUUAGCUGCACCAGAUAAGCAGAGAGGUCUCGAACGUCCAACUAACAGCAGAGAGAAGGUUCCUUACGAGAGGCUGAGCAAGCGAAAAUGUUUCUGCAGCAUUUGUCGGCGCGAAGGUCACAAGCGAACCACCUGCCUUUAA